UUAGGGUUCAUUUACUACAUCUAUUGAUUGAGUAAUUGUUUAAUUUUGAAAAGCCCAAAUUCCAGUCCAUAGCAAAGCACAGUGUUUGAUUGGCUCCACUGUCAAUUUUCUUUUUUACAUGAUGAAACUUUAAAUCUCAGUUUAUGGUUUAGGGGAAACCAUAAAGUAAAAUUGAUAGUUCUGUAACAAGAAUCUGCAAUUUUCAGACAUAAUUAGAAAAAUCCUAUGUUCUUUAUAUUUCUUGUUUCAGGUAUUUGAGAAUUAGUUUGUACUAGAUUGAGGACAGAGUUUGUAGAUGAUUUGUGAGUUCUUUGACCAUCAAUGGAGAGAAGGAGAUCACCAAGAAGCAACAAGAGUUCUGGAACUACAUUUUUCCCUAAAAGCCCGCUUGUCUACGAGAGUUAUAAGUCUGGUUGUAGUAAGAAACUGGCUUCACGAGAAAUGUCAGUGUAAUGAUGUAAGUGUAUUAUAAAUUGUUUUUGGAGAAACUGAAUCUCUUGAUCUCUUCAGCGGAUUGUAGAAGAAGAACAUUCAUGUAAGCAGCAUAAAUGAGAUGAUCUUUAAGCGAUGAAACAGAAGAUGAAUCAUGAGAGCUAGUUUAGUUAUUGUAAAUUAUGUUGACUUCACGAGAAAUGUCCGCAGAUGUUGUAUCAGAUGGCUAUUACGUAAGAAUUUACGGUUUAGUUAGUUGUAAAUUAUGAACUAUAUAGAUCCAAACAACAAGUUGUAUGUUCGAAUGUAAUUCCGACACAAAAUAAUUCCAAAAGCCAAAUAGAACCAAACAAG
rnacentral:lncRNA from 1 species